rnacentral:rRNA from 1 species
CUCWCCAAGACGACGACGGGUAGCCGGCCUGAGAGGGCGACCGGCCACACUGGGACUGAGACACGGCCCARACUCCUACGGGAGGCAGCAGUGGGGAAUAUUGCACAAUGGGGGAAAMCCUGAUGCAGCGACGCAGCGUGCGGGAUGACGGCCUUCGGGUUGUAAACCGCUUUCAGCAGGGAAGAAGCGCAAGUGACGGUACCUGCAGAAGAAGUACCGGCUAACUACGUGCCAGCAGCCGCGGUAAUACGUAGGGUACGAGCGUUGUCCGGAAUUAUUGGGCGUAAAGAGCUCGUAGGUGGUUGGUCACGUCUGCUGUGGAAACGCAACGCUUAACGUUGCGCGUGCAGUGGGUACGGGCUGACUAGAGUGCAGUAGGGGAGUCUGGAAUUCCUGGUGUAGCGGUGAAAUGCGCAGAUAUCAGGAGGAACACCGGUGGCGAAGGCGGGACUCUGGGCUGUAACUGACACUGAGGAGCGAAAGCAUGGGGAGCGAACAGGAUUAGAUACCCUGGUAGUCCAUGCCGUAAACGUUGGGCACUAGGUGUGGGGGGCAUUCCACGUUCUCCGCGCCGUAGCUAACGCAUUAAGUGCCCCGCCUGGGGGAGUACGG